UACGUAGGCCGCGAGCGUUGUUCGGAGUUACUGGGCGUAAAGCGUGCGUAGGCGGUUCUCCAAGUCUGGCGUGAAAUCUCCCGGCUCAACUGGGAGGGUGCGCCGGAAACUGGAUGACUGGAGUGCCGGAGAGGUAAGCGGAAUUCCUGGUGUAGCGGUGAAAUGCGUAGAGAUCAGGAGGAACACCUGUGGUGUAGACAGCUUACUGGACGGUGACUGACGCUGAGGCACGAAAGCGUGGGUAGCAAACAGG
rnacentral:rRNA from 1 species